UACGUAGGGUGCAAGCGUUGUCCGGAAUUAUUGGGCGUAAAGAGCUCGUAGGCGGUCUGUCGCGUCUGCUGUGAAACCCGGGCUCAACCCCGGGCUUGCAGUGGAUACGGGCAGACUAGAGUUCGGUAGGGGAGACUGGAAUUCCUGGUGUAGCGGUGAAAUGCGCAGAUAUCAGGAGGAACACCGAUGGCGAAGGCAGGUCUCUGGGCCGAUACUGACGCUGAGGAGCGAAAGCGUGGGAGCGAACAGG
rnacentral:rRNA from 1 species